rnacentral:rRNA from 1 species
GAUGAACGCUGGCGGCGUGCCUAAUACAUGCAAGUCGAGCGAACAGACGAGGAGCUUGCUCCUCUGACGUUAGCGGCGGACGGGUGAGUAACACGUGGAUAACCUACCUAUAAGACUGGGAUAACUUCGGGAAACCGGAGCUAAUACCGGAUAAUAUAUUGAACCGCAUGGUUCAAUAGUAAAAGACGGUUUUGCUGUCACUUAUAGAUGGAUCCGCGCCGCAUUAGCUAGUUGGUAAGGUAACGGCUUACCAAGGCAACGAUGCGUAGCCGACCUGAGAGGGUGCGAGGCCACAAUGGACCUGAGACACGGUCCAGAGUCCUACGGGAGGCAGCAGUAGGGACUCUUACGCAAUGGGCGAAAGCUUGACGGAGCAACGCGGCGUGAGUGAUGAAGGUCUUCGGAUCGUAAAACUCUGUUAUUAGGUAAGAACAAAUGUGUAAGUAACUAUGCACGUCUUGACGGUACCUAAUCAGAAAGCCACGGCUAACUACGUG